AAUGAAUAGGAUGUUCCAACAGAACUGACCUGAUACAAAGAGAAUACAAAACAAAGGUUGUGAAUACCACCAAAUGAAGCUAUGUUUCACCGGGACCUGCCACCCCUAUGAAGGAUUUGACAUAUAAACAUAAUCUGAAUCUCUUGUUGCUAUAAUCAUUCACAGGGAUUCCCAAAUGCUGCCCCUCCAUCAAGUCUAAAUGGAAGAAUCCAAAUAUGUCUAGUGAAAAAUAAAAUAGGAAACAGGAUACUUGUGAGAAGAUGGGGUAGCAAAGCAUGCUGGAUGUGAUGGAAAUGAAAUGAAACUAAUAAAGGAUAAUUUAUCCAUAAAGCUAAUAAGUGAAACCUAACAAAAGACAAUUUGGGUUUAAUUUGUUUAGUUAUACAUUGGAAAACAAGUAAAUUUCAAUUGUGGGAAACAGGAUCCUUGUUUGUGAGAAGAAGGGGCAGCAAAGCAUGCUGGGAAGAAGGACGUGAGGGAAAUGAAACCUAAUAAAGGGUAAUUUAUCAAUAAAGCUAAUAUGUGAAACCGAACAAAAGACACCUUGGGAUUGAUUUAUUUGGUUAUACACUGGAAAAAACGGUUAAAUUUCAAAUUAAUCCAAAACCACAGUUUGGGGCAUGCUGGGAAUUGUCCGUUGGCCUGAGGGAGCUGGCAGUGCAUGCUGGGAACUAGACUGCAACUGCCACCGCUCAGCAGCCUGGACGGCGCCCACGGCGGAGGCUGGCGGGAGUCGCAGGGCCUUUUGAGGGUGGCCCCUUCCCCUCCUCGUCCGCCAGGGACACCAGCGCCUGCAGCCCGUCCAGCUGCACUCUGCACGCUCUCAGAGGCCAGAGAGGCUGGCAGGGGCAGGGCCCCCAGGAGGGAGAGGGGCCCCGGGGGGAUUUGCACUCUGCACGCCCUCAGAGGCCGGAGAGGCUGGCAGGGGCAGGGCCCCCAGGUGAGCCCGGGAGAGAGAGGGGCCCCUGGGGGGAUUUGCACUCUGCACGCCCUCAGAGGCUUCGUAGUCUAAGCUCAGGGGGCUGUCUGAGCCGGCAUCUCUCUGGGGGAUGAGGGGUUUCUUCCCAUUGGUGAACAUCCUUCUUAAAUUGUGGUGCCCAGAACUGGACACAGUAUUCCAGGUGGCGUCUGACCAAGGGAGAAUGGAGCUCAGUCUUGUAAGCCACUGGGAUUAGUAGCAAUAUAAGUAAUAAUCACAAUAAGAAAGAUAGCAAUAUUAGACUUGGUUAACAAAUGUUUUUAAGAACAGUGUUCACACAUAUUUAUACUGCUUAACUGUGUGUGCAUUGCAAUCACUUAUUCAUUGUUGUGAGUAGUAAUUUUAAGUGCAUUCUUAAUAUUACAAUCAAGGUGCAAUACUGUUAAAAUGCAUAAUUAUUUUAAAUAUAAACACAGAAAUAAAUGAAGCUCCAAAUUCAUCGGAUGAUGACCUGUGCCACAAACCGGGAACCAGGCAGAGGGCCUUCUUGGUGGUGGCGCCCGCCCUGUGGAACGCCCUCCCAGCAGAUGUCAAGGAAGUAAACAACUACCUGACUUUUAGAAGACAUCUGAAGGUAGCCCUGUUCAGGGAAGUUUGUAAUGUUUGAUGUAUUUUUCGUGUUUUUAAUAUUCUAUUGGGAGCCACCCUGAGUGGCUGGGGAAACCAAGCCAGAUGGUGGGGUAUAAAUAAAUUGUUGUUGUUGUUACACUAGAUUUAAUGAACACUCAUAUCAGAGUGCCCUGGAAAUUGAGAGCCAUAGUCUUUUAUAUACUAACCUUUUAUGCUCUUCCACAUCCGUUUAAUGCUCCGAAACCCCUCUUUUAGCUUCUUUUAGACUUUUAUGUAUACUUUGUGUUUUAAUAUUUUUUAGCUUUACGUUUUACAGAUUGGAAAUGACUGUACCCCACCCUACUGAUGCUGGUCUACUACCGUAAUAAAGAUUUGAUUGAUUGAAAUGAAAAAUCCUACAGUAAUGCUGUGAUUGGACACCGAAAUAAUAUAAUACAGGGUGAUUCAUAAUGAAAUAUACAGUUUCCAGAUCCUGUAAGACAGGCGCCGACACGGAAAACAGCUGCGAACCGUGAGGUAGAUGUACUCAUAAAGUGAUGGAGGUGAUAGUGCGCGUGUCACGUGAAAUGGCUGCGUCUGCAGUGGAGAAGACGUUUUGUGUUCUUGAAUUGAGCAAAAUGGAGUUUGUUGUGCAACGGCAUUUGCAAUUGCGAUGUGUAUUGUGUGACAAACGGUGCAUACAUAGAACAUCUGUGACUGUUUCAAAACUACUUUAAACAUUCCCCUACAAUUCUGUCACAGGUAACAUGAGAUAUAUUAUAUUCUUUUUUAUAGUGUGUUGAGGCUUCCAGGUGGAAAAAUCAAAAUUAGAAACUGAACUGUUAGAACCCAAAACUAAGAAUUUGUCAAGAAUGUAUAACUUGCUGCUGAAAUGGAACACUCAGGAUGAAACGGUGAAAUCUGCUAUGAUUAAAUGGGCACAAGACGUUGGACACAACAUUAUGUUCGCUGACUGGGAACAGUUAUGGACCACAGGUAUGAAAUUUACGGCAUGUAAUGCCCUAAGAGAGAAUAUUAUGAAAAUGAUAUACAGGUGGUACAUAACCCCAGUCAAGCUUGCAAAAAUCUAUCAUUUGCCCGAUAAUAAAUGUUGGAAAUGUAAAGAAAUUGAAGGUACAUUUUUUCACCUUUGGUGGACGUGCCCUAAGAUUAAGGCUUUCUGGGAAAUGAUAUAUAAUGAAUUAAAAAAGGUAUUUAAAUAUACCUUCCUGAAGAAAGCAGAGGCCUUUCUCCUGGGCAUAGUCGGCCAAACGGUGUUAAAAAAGGAUAGAACUUUCUUUAUGUAUGCAACAACAGCAGCAAGAAUACUCAUCGCAAAAUAUUGGAAGACACAAGAGCUCCCCACACUGGAGGAAUGGCAGAUGAAACUGAUGGACUAUAUGGAACUGGCGGAAAUGACUGGCAGAAUCCGUGACCAGGGAGAAGAGUCGGUGGAAGAAGAUUGGAAGAAAUUCAAAGAUUAUUUACAGAAAUACUGCAAAAUUAAUGAAUGUUAGAGUGAUGUUGGAUUGAAAUUAAAUGGUUUCUAGCUAUACAGGCUUUAAAGUUAUAUAUAGAUUAAGAUUAAGGAUUAGGAAUAAAAAGGUUAAAAGAAUGGAAAAUUGGCUAUUAAUAGAUAAAAAUUUAAUGUUAUAUUAUAUUAAGAUUAAGGAUUGGGAUUAAAAAAGAGGGAAAGGAAUUGCUGGACAAAUAAACUAAAUUGGAAUACAAAAGAGGGAGGUAUGAGGAGGUCCAG
rnacentral:lncRNA from 1 species